rnacentral:rRNA from 1 species
AGAGUUAAACAGUACGUGAAAUUGUUGAAAAGGAAACAAUUGAAGUCAGUCAUACCAAUGGGAAAUCAAUCUUUUGAGCUUGAUCUCGUGAGUUUUGAAGAGUUUCAAAGCCUUCGGAUUUGCAGGAUUGGGAUCUCUUGGUGUACUUUUUCGUACGGUUAGUCAACAUCAGUUUUGAAUGUCAUAAAAUGACUGGAGGAAUGUAGCUUCGAUCUCGUAUUGAAGUGUUAUAGCCUUUGGUAGAUGUGAUGUUUGAGACUGAGAAUUGCAACAGAUACCCUUCAGGGCUAUUUGUCUGAGCUCUGAUACGUUGCCUUGAUGUUGAAAGCUUGCUUAUGAUGUUAGGAUAUUAUGGUCAAAGGUUAGAACGAAUUACAUUUGUUAAGGAUGUUGACAUAAUAACUUUAAAUGACC